CCUACGGGAGGCAGCAGUGAGGAAUAUUGGUCAAUGGACGAGAGUCUGAACCAGCCAAGUAGCGUGAAGGAUGACUGCCCUAUGGGUUGUAAACUUCUUUUAUAUGGGAAUAAAAUGUUCCACGUGUGGGAUUUUGUAUGUACCAUAUGAAUAAGGAUCGGCUAACUCCGUGCCAGCAGCCGCGGUAAUAUGGAGGAUCCGAGCGUUAUCCGGAUUUAUUGGGUUUAAAGGGAGCGUAGGUGGAUUGUUAAGUCAGUUGUGAAAGUUUGCGGCUCAACCGUAAAAUUGCAGUUGAAACUGGCAGUCUUGAGUACAGUAGAGGUGUGCGGAAUUCGUGGUGUAGCGGUGAAAUGCUUAGAUAUCACGAAGAACUCCGAUUGCGAAGGCAGUUCACUGUACUGCAACUGACACUGAGGCUCGAAAGUGUGGGUAUCAAACAGGAUUAGAUACCCGGGUAGUC
rnacentral:rRNA from 1 species